rnacentral:rRNA from 1 species
UACGUAGGGUGCGAGCGUUGUCCGGAUUUACUGGGCGUAAAGAGCGUGUAGGCGGCCAGACAGGUCCGUUGUGAAAACUGGAGGCUCAACCUUCAGACGUCGACGGAAACCGUCUGGCUAGAGUCCGGAAGAGGAGAGUGGAAUUCCUGGUGUAGCGGUGGAAUGCGUAGAGAUCCGGAAGAACACCGGUGGCGAAGGCGGUCUGCUGGGCGGUGAACUCGCAAGAGUUCAAUAGCCGACACUGAGGCGCGACAGCGUGGGGAGCAAACAGG